UUUACGUGAAUCAUUAGAGCCUGGCGGGCUUACGCUUCGUCUUCUUUUUCUCUUCGCAGAAGCUGACCAACACUUCUCAUCGCCGCUAGGGUUUCACCAACAUGAUUCUGCUCGCCCGGCGGAAACCUCCAUUUCUAAUCCCAACGCAUUAUUUCUCCCGCAGUGCCUUUCUCCUCGAUCCCUCACUCUCACCCCAACGCCUCCAAAACCCUAACCCUUGCCAUUGCACUUGCCCCAAAACCUCUCCUUUCUCCACCCAGUCCUCUAAAUUCCCGGAGUACGAGAUGCCCUCCGUCACCUGGGGGGUGGUCCAGGGCCGCAAGGAGCGACUUGUCUCACGCGUCAUUAUUUCCGACUAUCUCAAAUCCAUAGGCGUCAUCCCCAACGAGCUCGAACAUCUUGAGCUCCCUUCCACCGUUGAAGUCAUGCGCGGCCGCGUGGAGUUUCUCCAGCGCCUCGGCCUUACAGUGGACGACAUGAACGAAUAUCCCCUUAUGCUGGCAUGCAGCGUCCGUAAGAACAUGAUCCCUGUCCUCGGCUACCUCGAAAAGAUUGGCAUCAGCCGCUCCAAGCUAGGAGAAUUCGUUCGAAACUACCCCCAGGUUCUCCAUGCUAGCGUCGUCGUCGAGCUUGCACCCGUAAUCAAGUUCCUACGAGGCCUCGAUGUUGAGCGCCAUGAUAUCCCUUACGUCCUCCAGCGCUACCCAGAACUGCUCGGCUUCAAGCUGGAGGGCACCAUGAGCACUUCGGUGGCCUACCUCGUCAGUAUCGGUGUCUGGCCGAGGGACAUCGGCCCCAUGGUGACUCAAUACUCUUAUUUUCUGGGCAUGCGGGUUGGAACCACCAUCAAACCUCUAGUGGAAUACAUAAUAUCUUUGGGAGUACCCAAGAGGAUUCUUGCCAGAAUGCUUGAGAAGAGGACAUAUAUUCUUGGGUAUGAUCUCGAGGAGACCGUGAAGCCCAACGUUGACACUCUACUCAGCUUUGGUGUGAGGCGGGAGGCCCUGCCUUCGUUGAUUGCUCAGUAUCCGCAGAUUCUUGGGUUGCCUGUCAAGGCUAAGUUGUCGACUCAGCAAUUUUUUUUCAACUUGAAGCUUAAGAUAGACCCCGAAGGAUUUGCUCGGGCUUUGGAGAAGAUGCCCCAAAUUAUUAGUCUCAGUCAGAAUGUUAUUAUGAAGCCGGUGGAUUUCCUCAGGGGACGAGCCAUACCCGAUGAGGAUGUUGCGAGGAUGAUUGUUAAGUGCCCCCAACUGCUUGCAUGCAGUGUUGCGCUGAUGAAGAAUAGUUACUAUUUCUUCAAAAGCGAAAUGCAGAGGCCAUUGAAGGACCUAUUUGAAUUUCCAGAGUAUUUCACCUACAGUUUGGAGUCAAGAAUUAAGCCGAGGCAUCAGAAAUUGGCUAGCAAGGGAAUUAAGUGCAGUUUGGCUUGGUUACUGAAUUGCAGUGAUCGGAGGUUCGAGGAGAGAUUACAGGCUGAUUACAUUGAAGAAGAUACUCCCGGACCUUCCUUCUUUAUGGGGGGGAUGUUAGAGAUGCCUGGGAGUUAUCUGGUAUCCGAACAGGAGGAUAGUAACAGUGACGAUGAAGUACUUUACAGGAGGACUGUUUCUCUCUAAGAAAUCAUUUGCAUUAAUGGCUGCUUUGGUGGUUAUUGAAGGCUUUUUUUCUUAUCCAAUAGAAGAAGUUAGAGAAGCUGGAGCGUGUGAAGGCCAGUGGGAGGAAGGGGGAGAAAAGCAAGUGUUAAUUUCUUCAAUGAACGAUGAGCUUCAGGUAUUCAGAGAAGUCCGAGCGAGUGCUAUGCCGAUGCAAACUGUCGUUUUUGUUACUCACGUUACAUCAACAACAUAGCUACGGGCAACAGUUCUACAAGUGCUGGUGGGCAAAUGGACUAGACGGUUGUUGGUUCUUCAGGUGGGCAAACAGUCUGACGAAUUCUACGGUAUCCCAAACAGAAAAUGUUGCUCAAGGUUCGACAACAUCCAAUUGGAGAACGUCGCUCACGGUUGGACGGUAUCCCAACCGGACAUUGUUGCUCGGGGUUCAACGAUUUCCCAACCGGACAACGUUCGUUGUGACAUGCUCCUAUAUUUUAAAAUAAAUAUUGUCGCUCUUUUGCUUGUAAUUUUAACAUUUUAUUUAUUUAUUUUUUUGUUUCUUGAUACUCACUAUUAAGUGAGGUGUAUAUCUUUUUUUCUAGUUGUGUUUCAAAUGGUAGUUGUUUAUGUUAUAGAGGCUAGGUUUUAUGGUA